UAAAUUAUUCUCUUUUAACACAAAGCUCAGAGACAAAGAAUGAGGGUUGCAGAGAGUAGAGGAAAGUUCAAGGGUAGCUGCUCCUCUCUGCUAAUUCCUGUGAUUUCAUUUUUGCCAAAGAUGCCCUUCUGCAGUAAACUAUGUCCAAACGACCCCUCUACUCUAUCUCCAAAUCCUCACUCCCAAAAAGAGAAUCAAUAGUAAUAGUAAUAAUAAUAAUUGUAGCAAAAAUCUGAGGCUGUGAUGAUAUUUUUUUCUUCUGUCUCUGAGCAAAUUGAUUAAGGCAGGAGAAUAAUCGGACCCGUAUCUUGGCGGGGCGACCCGGAUGGUGACGACUUGCAACCGGUGUUUACAGCCAUGGCGGUGUCUCCAAUCUCUUGCCUUGUCUUCAGUAUUACAGAUAUGAGCCUCAAUUGGAAGGUUAUUUUCUUAAGUGCAAACUUACAGGUUCUUUUCUGUUAAAUUUUGAAAUUCACAGGUGAAAAUCCACGAGAAUUUCCCCUAAAAAUGCAAAAAGGUUAGGCCAGAAAGAAAUGAGGCAAAACAGAGAGUAUUGGGAUUUUCAUUCGAAGGGUGGUUGCCCCUCUCUGUUCCGCCAUUGAUUUUCCUCCAUUUUCAAAAAAACCCAACAGCCCUUGUUUACGACAAAAGCAGAAGUAGAGAGCAUUUGGACAUAAGAAUUGUAAAAUUCCGGAAAAAAGUAAAAAACAAUUCCAGUGAAAUCUGUAUUCACUUUUUUCUUGUGUGUGUGUUUAUGUUGCUGAUGGAUGUUACAUAAAGAGGCAGUGAUGAUGAUGUUUCUUGUAUCUGGGCUAACCGAUUUGGGCAUAGAGAUGACCCAACCCGUAUCUUGGCGUGGUAACCCUGUAUGGCCUGUGAUUGAGAUUUCUGUCUCCCAAAGAGCUGUAGGGAGUUUCAUUGGGUGGUUUUGCUGCUCUCUGUCAAUUCUCUGCCGCCAAUGAUCAAUCAAAUGUACGAUUGCAAAACCACCCGUUUGGUGAAAAUAUGUAUUACUCCCCCGUUUCAAUUUAUGCGACGCGAUGAGGCUAUGAAGAUUUUAUUCUUCUGUGGAAGAUCAAUCAGACAUAUAAAUCUAUUGAGCUGGGAAAAAAAUUGUAAUCUUGGCGUGGCAGCUCAGAUGGGUCUUUGAGAUAUUGGAGAAUUAUCCAUUUUUAUGUGUGUUUCUCCUCUUUCAUAAAACUAACUGAUGCUUGCAGCCAUGACGGUCUUUUUCCAAAGCUUUUUGGGGUUUUGUCUGAGAAAAGGCAAAUCUGAGCCUACCCCAUUGUCUGGAUGAAACAUGCCUGGAUGAUAAAUACUACUUCUAAGGUGGCUUAAAGAAAUGGGGUAAAACAGAUGGGAUUGUCUUUAAAGGGUUGUAAAUAAGUGUAUAUCAGAGGGCAAAGUAAGAAAUAUCGAUCCUCUAAAUAGUUCUCUUUUGACACAAAGCAGAAAACUAAAAGCUCAUACAAAGAAUGAGGGUUGCAGAGAGUAGGGGGAAGCUUAAGGGCAGCUGCUCCUCUCUACAAUACCUGUGAUUUCAUUUUUGCCAAAAAUGCCCUUCUGCAGUAAACUGUAUCCAAACGACCUUUCUACUGUAUCUCCAAAUCAUCACUCCCAAAAAGAGAAUCAAUAGUAGUAAUAAUAAUAAUAAUUGUAGCAAAAAUCUGAGGCUAUGAUGAUGAUUUUUUCUUCUGUCUCUGAGCAAAUUGAUUAGGGCAAGAGAACAAUCGGACCUGUAACUUGGCCGGGCAACCCGGACGGUGACGACUUGCAACCGGUGUUUGCAGCCAUGGCGGUGUCUCCAGCCUCUUGCCUUGUCUUCAAUAUUACAGAUCUGAGCCUCAAUUGGAAGGUUAUUUUCUUAAGUGCAAACUUACAGGUUCUUUUCCGUUAAAUUUUGAAAUUCACAGGUGAAAAUCCACGAGAAUUUCCCCUAAAAAUGUAAAAAGGUUAGCUCAGAAAGAAAUGAGGCAAAACAGAGAGUAUUGGGAUUUUCAUUUGAAGGGUGGUUGCCCCUCUCUGUUCCGCCAUUGAUUUUCCUGCAUUUUCAGAAAAAAAACCAACAGCCCUUGUUUAUGACAGAAGCAGGCAGCGUUUGGACAUAAGAAUUGUAAAAUUCCGGAAAAAGUAAAAAAAUUUCCGAGUGAAAUCUGUAUUGACAUUUUGUGUGUGUGCGCGCGUGCGCUUAUGUUGCUGAUGGAAGUUACAUAAAGAGGCAGUAUGAUGAUGUUUCUUGUAUCUGGGCUAACCGAUUUGGGCGUAGAGAUGACCCAACCCGUAUCUUGGCGUGGCAACCCGGUAUGGUAUGUGAUUGAGAUAUCUGUCUCACUUGCAACUGGUGUUUUGCAGCCAUGGCGUAGCUGACUUCUCUUUGCCUUAAUCAUAACACAUUCAUGAUAAGCCUACUAUAGCAUGGACCAAGUUGUAAAUAAACACACACCAGAAAGGCAAAACAAGAUUAUCGAUGCUUUAAAUGGUUCGCUUUGACACAAAGCAGAAAACUAAAAGCUCAGAGACAAAGAGUGAGGGUUGCAGAGAGUAGAGGGAAGCUCAAGGGCAGCUGCUCCUAUCUGCUAAUUCCUUUGAUUUUUUUUGCCAAAAAGUGCCCUUCUGCAGUAAACUGUUUCCAAAUGACCCCUCUACUUUAUCUCCAAAUCCUCACUCCCAAAAAAGAAUCAGACUGUACUAAUAAUAAUAAUUGUAGCAAAAAUCUGAGGCUAUGAUAAUAAUUUUUUCUUCUGUCUCUGAGCAAAUUGAUUAGGGCAGGAGACCAAUUGGACCCGUAACUUGGUGGGGCAACCCGGACGGUGACGACUUGCAACCGGUGUUUGCAGCCAUGGCGGUGUCUCUAAUCUCUGCCCUCAUCUUCAAUAUUACAGAUCUGAGCCUCAAUUGGAAGGUUAUUUUCUUAAACGCAGAUUUAUGGGCUCUUUUCCGUUAGAUUUUGAAAUUCGCAGGUGAAAUAUCGGCGAGAAUUUUCCCUAAAAAUGCAAAAAGGUUAGCCCAGAAAGAAAUGAGGCAAGACAGAGAUUAUUGGUAUUUUCAUUAGGAGGGUGGUUGCCCCUCUCUGUUCCGCCAUUGAUUUUCCUCCAUUUUCAAAAAAUAAAAAAACCCAACAGCCCUUGUUUACGACAAAAUCAGAAGCAGACAGGAUUUAAGUGGACGUUUGUACAUAAGAAUUAUGAAAUCCCGGAAAAAAGUAAUUUUUUUCCAGUGAAAUCUGUUUACUUUUUUUGUGUGUGUGUGUGUGUGUGUGUUCAUGUUGCUGAUGGAAGUUACAUAAAGAGGCAGUGAUGAUGAUGUUUCUUGUAUCUGGGCUAACCGAUUUUGGCAUAGAGAUGACCCGAGCCGUAUCUUGGCGUGGCAACCCGAUGUGGCCUGUGAUUGAGAUUUCUGUCACACUUGCAACUGCUGUUUUGCAGCCAUGGCGUAGCUGGCUUCUCUUUGCCUUAUCACAACAUAUAUGAGCCCCAUUUGCAAGUAAAGAAAAAAUAGAUAAUCUUUUCUAUGAUUUGGAUUAACAGGUAAAUAGGAAGGGGAGUCUUGGAGUAACCGUAAUGUUUUCCUCGUGUGACCUGUCAGUCACGAGUUCGAGCUGGUCACAGCUACUGAUGCUUGCAUUAGGGUAUCUGUCUACAUCACACCCCUUGAGAGUGUGGCCCUUCACUGGACCUUGCGCGAACGCGGUUGUCUUGUGCACCGUGCUGCCCUUGGAUUAACAGGUAAGUAGCAUAAACCUCAUUAGUUAGUAUGAGGCUGCUUUCAAGGCAGAGAGCUGUAGGGAGUUUCAUUGGGUGGUUUUGCCCCUCUCUGUAAUUGUUCGCCGCCAAUGAUCACUCAAAUGUCCGUUUUUAAAACCACCCUUUUGUUGAAAAUACGUAUUACUCCCUCCCUUUCAAUUUAUGUGACGCAAUGAGGCUAUGAAGAUUUUAUUUUUCUGUGGAAGAUGAAUCAGACUUAUAAAUCUAUUGAGCUGGGAAAAAAUUGUAAUCUUGGCGUGGCAGCUCAGAUGGGUCUUUGAGACAUUGGAGAAUUAUCCAUUUUUUUUUGUGUGUUUUCCUGUUUCAUAAGACUAACUGAUACUUGCAGCCAUGGCGGUCUUUUUCCUCAGCUUUUUGGGGUUUUGUCUGAGAGAAGGCGAAUCUGAGCCUACCCCAUUGUCUGCAUGAAACAUGCUGGGAUGAUAAGUACUAGUUCUAGGGUGGCUUAAAGAAAUGAGGCAAAACAUAUGGGAUUAUCUUUAAAGGGUUGUAAAUAAGCGUAUGUCAGAGGGCAAAGUAAGAAAUAUCGAUCUUUUAAAUAAUUCUCUUUUGACACAAAGCAGAAAACUAAAACCUCAUAGACAAAGAAUGAGGGUUGCAGAGAGUAGAGGGAAGCUUAAGGGCAGCUGCUCCUCUCUACAAUUCCUGUGAUUUCAUUUUGUCCAAAAAAUGCCCUUCUGCAGUAAACUAUGUCCAAACGACCACUCUACUCUAUCUCCAAAUCCUCUCUCCCAUAAAGAGAAUCAAUAGUAGUAGUAAUAAUAAUAACAAUUUUAGUAAAAAUCUGAGGCUGUGAUUAUGUCUUUUCUUCUGUCUCUGAGCAAAUCAAUUAGGGAAGUGAACAAUUGGACCCGUAUCUUGGCGGGGUAACCUGGAUCGUAAAUGAUUUUCCAACCGGUAUUUGCAGCCAUGGCGGUGUUUCCAAUCUCUUGCCCUAGCUUCAAUUUAACAGAUCUGAGCCUCAUUUGGAAGGUUAUUUUCUUAAAUGCUGACUUAAGAAAAGGUUAGCCCAGAAAGAAAUGAGGCAAAACAGAGAGUUUUGAGAUUUUCAUUAAAAGGGUGGUUGCUCCUCUCUGUUCCGCCAUUGAUUUUCCUCCAUUAUCAAAAAAACCAACAGCCCUUUGUUUAUGUCAAAAGCAGAAGCAGACUAGUAAAGUUGCUGCCAUAUGACCAGGAGGCCAUGGGUUCGAGUGGUAGAAACAUUCUCUUGCAUAAAUGCAGGCCAUGGCGGUCUUUUUCCGAAGCUUUUUGGGUUUUUGUCUGAGCAAAGGCGAAUCUGAGCCUACCCCAUUAUCUGGAUUAAACGUGCUGGGAUGAUAAAUACUACUUCUAAGGUGGCUUAAAGAAAUGAGGCAAAACAGAUGGGAUUUUCUUUAAAGGGUGAUUGCCCCUCUCUGUUCUGCUGUUGAUUUUCCUCUAUUAAGAAAAUAACAACAGCUCUUGACAUGGAAAAAGAAGAAACAAGAACUGGAAGUGUAAUUAAACUAUACUGCUCUCCCCACACUACUACAUAUCUGUCUUUCCUCUGGUGUGAGUGUUUUUUUUUUUUUUUUUUUUUUUUUUUUUUUUUUUUUUUUUUUUGGGUGUUGAUGGAAGGUACAAAGAGAGGCUGUGAUGAUGAUGUUUCUAUAUCUGGGAUAACCAAUUUGGGCGUGGAGAUUAUCCAGCCCGUAUCUUGGCUUGGCAACCCAACAUGGCUUGUGACUGAGAUUUCUUUCUCUCACAUGCAAUUGGUGUUUGCAGCCAUGGCGUGGCUGGAUUCUCUUUAGCUUUAUCUUAACACGCAUCUGAGCCUUUUUCUUUAUUUGGUAUGAUAAUGACAUGGGUUGAGCUUAAAUGGAGGAACAUGGUUAGUGGCGAUUCAUAUAGCGGAUCCCAACUUCUGGGAAUCAAGCUCAGGUCUUUUGAGUGAGCCAAAUAUCCUAACUGACUAUACUACAACGGAAAUGUAACUACAAGAUAAUUACAGCAUUGAAGGAGGCUUAUAAUUCCUCUACACAUGGAAUUUUAAAGAGGCCCACCUCGUGGCAUGGCAACCCGAUUUCGUUGGUGCCUUAAAGUGUCAGAUGCAACUUGGGUUGCAGCCAUGGCUGUUCAGCUCAUUGGCUCUUGCCUGAAUAUUCUAAAGAGGUGUGGGGCUACAUAGAGAUGAGAAGUUCUAAGGGUGCAAAUGAUGGCUGUGAUGAUGAUAGUGUCUGUUAUGAACCCACAGGAGAUACUAGAGGGUACUAGACGCAGUGCACGUGCCAUACACCCUCCCAAAUAUUUGGAGAAUUUCGUGGUCCCCAAUCUAAAGAAAUGACAAGGUCUGUAAAAUCUGUUAGAGGUAGUGGAGGAUUCGCAAGUUACCAUCUGAUGCAACUUAUGCUUCUAUAAAUAUCCAGCAAGGCUAGAAUGAUAGGAUUAUGUAUGAAAUUGAGUAUUUUCUUUUUUGGCUAGUUUUGUCUGGAACCCUUCCCCAUUUCUUUACUGUUUCAUUGACAUUUUUCAGUGUAUUUUCCUAGUCCAGUUCUUAGAUCCUUCACGGUAAUUGUAUUUUGAGUUCAAUCAACACAAGUUCAUACCAAUUUGGUGCUCUCGUUGACCCUCUCCUUCCACUGACAAUGGGUGACGGACCUCCGACGACUCGCCUGAAAACUUUGGAUGACUCCAUGAAAUUGGUUCAUGACCAGCUUGCUACCCAUGCCCAAAAUUUUGAGAACAUUAAUGCUACCCUGCAGGUUCAACAGUCCCUGUUUCAAGAUAUCUCGACCCAACUUGCUCAGAUGCAAAACCAGCCUAAAAACCAAACCACCCCACAAAAUACCCUACAGUUAAACCAAAACCCGCU